GGAGAUGGGGAGCGGCAGACCGAUUCACGCAAAGGAGAUGCUGGCAGUCCCGUCAUUCGUGAGGCCGACGCCAGGAAGGAGCUGCGUGGAAGCGUAAGCGGGGCGCUAGCUGUGCCGAGGAGAAAUCCGGAGUCCAAUCGAGCGUCCCACGGGUCGAAUCGCACGUGAACGGGGCCCACUUCAGGACCCACCGCCCUCCUGAAUGAACACGGGGACUUUCUUUGCAGGCUGCUGGACGACACCUUGAAAGUGAGCAAAUGAACGUCAUGGUGUCGAGCCAGUUUUGGAGCCAAUCUUUCUUCGGUGGUUAUUUUUGCAGCUUCUCCUGUCAUUCUGUCUGGGGUGAAAAUCUUCAGCUGUCGCUGAAACAAAACUUGUCCCACUGAAAAACAGGACCGUAUCUAAAAUUGGAAUGGGUGCUGCUAUGUCGGUCCAUCCGAUGUGUGCCACUGUCUCUCUAGAAAUUAGUGUUAAAUCAUGGUGUUAGGUUUUCUGGUGAGUCCUAAAAUGAGCUAUGAACUCGCUCAGCUUGGAGCCACCCGGAAAAACAAAGGCCCACGUAGGACGUAAGGAUGCGGUCUGAGCUGGUGUAACUAGAGCUUCACUGGAACGGCCGAGCUUCAUGAGAUUAGAGGGCCGUGCCCUUGGCAUGAGGUUCUGUCAUUCUCAGGGAUGUCCUGCCUUUGCCCCUAUGUCUGAAAGCCACUGCACGAACCGUCACUGAGCCUGCAGAGUUGUAUACCUUCACACUGUGAGCUUGGGUGGCCUUUGGCAGACGUGGGGCAGGGGUGACUCCUCACAAUGAAAUUGUAAAUUCAUUGUUGCUAAACAUUUCCUUUUCAAAUAAGCUUUUAUUGAUUGAACUUGUAAUAUAUCUUUGGGGCUGGAUGGCUCCUUGUUAGUUAAUGAUUUUAUUUUAACCUCUUCCUCCUAAACUGUAAGUAUAAAAAGUCAGUUCAGUAUCACA